rnacentral:rRNA from 1 species
GACGAACCGUGCGAACGUUGUUCGGAAUCACUGGGCUUAAAGGGCGCGUAGGCGGGCCGGCAAGUCAGGGGUGAAAUCCCACGGCUCAACCGUGGAAGUGCCUUUGAUACUGCGGGUCUGGAGGGAGGUAGGGGCGUGCGGAACUUCCGGGUGGAGCGGUGAAAUGCGUAGAUAUCGGAAGGAACACCGGUGGCGAAAGCGGCGCGCUGGACCUCUACUGACGCUGAGGCGCGAAAGCCAGGGGAGCAAAGCGGG